rnacentral:rRNA from 1 species
AUGAACACAUCCAUUUGGGACAUGAGUUCUUCGUCAUCUUCAUCUGGCGACGAUGAACUCAUACUUGCAGCAUUCGCCGAGCGCGAGGAGGAAGAAAGGAAGAACGCUCGACGCCAUGGCGGUUCCAAGUAUGGACGUCAGUCAAUCGAUCGAGGAAGAGAUGCCGGAUUUCUUCUUCUGUGGGACGACUACUUUAAAGAAGUUCCUCGCUUUCCCGAACAUUUGUUUCGACGAAGAUUUAGAAUGUCGCGUACUUUGUUCAACCGCAUAGCUGAUGGUAUAUUUGACAUGACUAUGAUGAUUAUUUUACGCAAAAAAGAAGUGCUUCUGGAGCUCUUGGGUUACAUCCUUUGCAAAAGAUGA